GUUCAUUUUUUGUUGCACCGAAGUUUACGUAUAAUGAUGGCCAGCUAACUUGAACUUUAUUUGGAAAUACACUUCGCGUUGAUGUCCGAUAAUGUCCAUACAUUUAACCCAACAGUUUGCAUCAAUAAAUGAACAAGCUAGCGAGCUGUGUGGAUAACAUUAGCUAGAUAGCAAACAAGCUAGCUAACGUAAGCAAACCAGUUGUAAGCAGCCAUGCGACUCCCCUCCUGUUAACGUGGCUAAUAUUUAAUGCUUCUCCUCACGUCGUGAAGUAUCAUGUCUCUAUGAUAAAGUAUCGUUAUACUCCAUCAUUUAAUUUAAGAUUUAAUUUAUUUUUAUUUAUUUGUGUUGCUUAAAUAAUUCUGUCGUUAUAAGCCACUGUCAGUUUAGCUAACUAAACCUGAUGGGAGGCAUGUUUGCUUUCUCUGACUGUCCCUCAAAUUUAUAUCAAUUUUAUAGCGGUCGUGUUUACAGUGAUCCACUUCAGUUAGCAGCAGUAGCUAGCUUGUUGCCUUGGCUGAAUUGAUUGGUCUGACAUUUUUAUUUACUACAGCUUACAGUAAACUUGCAGAUUGGCAGGUAAAUGUAAUAUCUUUCGUGUCAGGCGUUAUUCCAUCUUAAUUUUCCAGACUUUAUUAUUACUGUGGUCAUAUAUACAGUAAGUACUGUACGUAUAGUCAGUGGUUAAAUUGGGUUUUCUAAGGAGGGGGAGCCCUUGUUUACAUAUUACCGUCAAUGAUCAACGUCUUUCAAAGCAUCUUUAUUUACAUCUCACAGCAUCUUACGCCACAUUUACAUCUCACACCACUUAUGUAUAUCUCAUGCCAUCAGUUCACAUAUUAGCUUUACAGUCAUUUCAUUUUAAUUCACGAGGUUCCAAAUAGGGCUGAAAGCAUGUUUCUCCUGUCUUUCCUGUCUCUCUCUACAAGCUGUAUGGUCUGCUGACCUCCUGGUCAUGACCCACUUCUUGACAUACUUUGUUGGGUUCCAAACCUCUAAUGGUGGACCCACUAUGUUGAUAAACAUUAGGCAGGAAACAUUCUCUACCUUCAGCUGAGUGCGAAGUGGUGAGACAACAGUGUUCAUGACAGAAAAUCCUCGUUCACAUUCGGCUGUGCUUAAAACCAUUGUAUCAGCUGCUUGUUUCAGUUUUAAGAGUCCCUCCCUGGGUAACAUAUCUGGAUUCUGUUUAAAGUCUCUGAAGGCUUGCUUUACACUAGAGUAACUUAUUUUGAAACAGUCACAGAGUUCUCUUACCUCGAGCUCUCCAUAGUGCAAUGGCACUGGAGUAGGCCAGGUUUUAGGUGAAAGCACGUUCAGCUUUUCAGAAAGUUCAAGUUCAUCCUUUGGGACCAUCCUUGAGAUCAUGCUGUUGCUCAGUUCAUGGAAAAGCUUCUUAGGUUUUAGUGACUUUUUGCUUGGCAUUUGUUUUAACCAACACCCCUUUAAAAGUGCCAUUCUCAACAGCCUGAGAGGCAAUUUGAUAGUGUGGCCCUGGUGUCUCCUUCAUAGCUGAAAAAACUUAAGCCUGCCUUUUUACCAUAUUGACAGCAUCUGACAGACGGACAUUUCUGUCCUGCAAUAACUCUGACAAGUCUUUUAGCUCUUCUAAAGCAUCAAACACAAGCCCAAGAUUUUUAAUAAAAUCUGUGGAGGCCAGUUUUGCUGAGAGCCCUUCAUACAUGCAUCUCUCAGCAGAGCUCCUCCUUUCAUCUUUACCAGCACAUGACCAAUGUUGGUGCAAAGCACUGUACAUGUUCCACACAGCUUCAGCAGUUCUGUAGGAAGAAGCCGCCCAUCUCACAUUUAACACACGGCCUAUCUUGCGCAAAUGUGCACCCACUGCUGAUGCUGCUCGAUCCAGCUCUCUGAGAUUUUUAGGAGAUUGACUAUAGAAACAAUACAGCUUGUCUAAGAAACUGGUAAAGUGGUUUGUUUCUACGCAGACCUUUACAGCAUCUCCUACAGAAAGUUCUAACCAGAGACUGUAAAAAAAUAGGUUCUAACGUGUGAUUUAAACAGUUUAAACAGUGGAGCACUUAUAACGAACAGAGAGAGCACAAUAGCAUUAGUUAAACAUGUUUUAUGUUUUUGAUUAUGAAAAAUUACUUAUUCUACACAUGACUUUGGGCUUUAAUAUUGUCUUUGUUUUCAUUCCUAUUCAGCAUUACUGUUUUUUUUUUUGUUUUGGUUUUUUAAGCAAAACGACCACACUUACCAAAAAAAAAAAAAAGAAAUCUUUUAGGGUCCUCUUCCUCUUCAUUGUUAAAAUUGACUGUUCAUUAAGCCUAUGAAUGAAUGAACAAAAUGAGCUUAAGUUAAAUAAAAACUGCCAGUUAUCCAAGUUACUCAGAUAUUCACUUAUUGUACAAACAUAAACUCAUCGUGUUCCGAACAAAACACGGGGAAGCGGCCGUUUCCACAAGAAGUGAACGUCCGUUCAACGUUAGUUUUUCUCAUGAGGAAUGUGGCUUGUAGUUUUAGGCUUUAUGUGCGCUAACAGUUACUGGCUGCUAAAGUUCGCUUCAUUUCAGCUGAUUUACACAGUUUCUGAUGUGAUGCCUGCCUGAGAAGCUAAAAACAGCCAUUUCAGUCCACCAAGGCAACACACAGCUAAUCCUGCGUAACAGACAGCUUAGUAAAUACACAUAAAAUGUUAGCUAACUAAGAACUGAACUUUUGAAACUUACCGAGGAGAAAAAAAAGUUGACGGAAUCGGAAUGUUCAAGACGAAUGCGAUUAGCGCCAUUACAAACUCGGUUUGCGUGAUAGCGUGCGGACUCACGCGCGUUUCAUGACGUCUGAUAAUUGUUACAAGCGCAUUGUUUACAAGGUUUUGGGUGUAGAAUUCACACACACAGCAUUACAGUAGAGCAAGUAUCAGAACUCCACCAUAACAUUAAAGUCUAUUUUUUAAAGGCUUUUAAAGUAGCACCAUACACUGAUUCCACCUAUGUAGUCCUUCCAACUCCCUUUGAACAAAGAUGUUCAUGCGUCUGUUGCAUUUACAUAAUGUAUGUUCAUAUGUAACACAUUUUGGUGAUUUUUUCUCUCUCCAGCAUGUCUGCAGCCCAACGAGCUGAUCAGGGUAGCACUGUGGCUGUCUAACAGAUGGGCUGACCAUGCAGGAAGUCCCCAGAUGGAGGCGCUGUUGACAUGAAGACAGUCAGACCUCAGAAGUAGAAACUGAAGGGACGAACGGGGAUUCGAACCCUGAAGCUCAGCGUUCCAAGCUUUGGACAAUACCUUUACGCCACCAUCAUGUUAGCGGUUGCGCGGCUGCAGAAAUGGCCUGAUGAUGAGACAACCCAAGUAUAAGCGAAACAAAGACGAAGGGGGGUUCGAACCCCCAACCUCUGCGUCCGUAGGCAAAGACAAUACCGUUGCGCCACCUUCUCUUCUGUGAAUCGGCCGGCUCUUCUGUGGGUAGAAGAAGAUGACACAACAGAAAUAUUUCCAAAAAAAAAAAAAAAAAGCUGGAACCCCCCCGGCUGUGGCUGGCUCAAAUCUGCUGGGCGUGAUGCAAUGCAAUGGGCUUCGUGGAACAGGGUACUCUGUCUUGCGCCACGAAACCCUUCAAGAAUUCCUGGGUGCUCAUUAGUGAACUUAUUCUCAGACCCAUCAGAAUUAAACAGGAAGAGCUCAGCUUUGAAUCACACAGAUCCAGAUUAGGUGCUCUCCUAAAAUGAACUCUAAGAAACUGUGGCAAAAUAUAAACUGACACCCUCACAUAUUUUGGCUUCUUUAAAUAAAGCUGUUGAUUCAUUGAAGGAA